rnacentral:rRNA from 1 species
CACGUAGGGACCAAGCGUUGUCCGGAUUCAUUGGGCGUAAAGAGCUCGUAGGCGGUUCGAUAAGUCGGGUGUGAAACCUCCAGGCUCAACCUGGAGACGCCACCCGAUACUGUCGUGACUAGAGUCCAGUAGGGGAGCGUGGAAUUCCUGGUGUAGCGGUGAAAUGCGCAGAUAUCAGGAGGAACACCAGCGGCGAAGGCGGCGCUCUGGGCCGGUACUGACACUGAGGAGCGAAAGCGUGGGUAGCAAACAGG